AACAACAGCAACAACAAUAUAUUCGUAUCUCCUCUCCAGCACGGAGCUGCCGGUCGAUGAGGACGAAGUGGUGAACGAUCUCGUUCUAUUUCUUGCACCAUGGCGGGAUGCAGCUCCGUGGUUAUUUCGCAGCUUCUGCACCACCGAACUUUGCGGCAGCAGCGGUCUCGGUCACUGCACAGGGCGUUGGCCGAGUCUCCAUCGGCCAGUGGCCAAUCGUCAUCUGUGGUGCCUUUGCGCCGACGGUCGCUUAGCGUGGGCGCCAGGUGCCAGGAGGGAGAGGUCGGCUCAGCGUCGUCGGACUUAGAGUUGUGGAGUGACACAGACGUGGAAGAGCCGAGCGGCGGCAGCUGUUCCCAAGCAGGAGGACCGGAAUGUGUCGCCAACAGGGUAUCGCGAUCGCCCGGCGUGACUUGCCUGCGGUCGACCGUGCCGGUGGUGGCCGGACCGGCAUCGCCGAAUACCCUCUUCGCCAGCCAGUAGACCCCCGCGCCGGUCGAACUCGGCAGUACUCUACCUUUCGGAUGGAGUUCGUGGUCUGCUCUAGCACCCAUCACAAUGAGCAGGAUCAUUAACUGCUCAAGGACUAAGCCAUUGAACUGCACUGUGAGGAGCGCGUCUGUCGCAUAUGCAUGGCAUAUGGCACUUCGGCUGGCCACGCACACUCGCGGGGGCCCUAAAUUUCACCCGAACGACUGGGCAGUGCCUGAAUGUGCACAUUGCAGCCGCUUUCGAAGAUUCCCUGCAAAGGCGUGGUACACGAGCUCUUGUGUUUGUUCACGGCGUCGCGUCGCUCCGUCCUUAGACUUGUUUACAGAGUGCUGUCUUGUUUUUACUUUCGCUUUCUUAUUAAUUAAAAGUGAUUGUGUUGUGUCA